rnacentral:rRNA from 1 species
AGAGUUUGAUCAUGGCUCAGGAUGAACGCUGGCGGCGUGCUUAACACAUGCAAGUCGAACGAACCUUCGGGUUAGUGGCGGACGGGUGAGUAACGCGUGGGAAUCUGCCCUCAGGAGGGGGAUAACGACUGGAAACGGUCGCUAAUACCCCAUAUGCCGAGAGGUGAAAUGAAUUUCGCCUGAGGAUGAGCCCGCGUCUGAUUAGCUAGUUGGUGGGGUAAGGGCCCACCAAGGCGACGAUCAGUAGCUGGUCUGAGAGGAUGAUCAGCCACACUGGGACUGAGACACGGCCCAGACUCCUACGGGAGGCAGCAGUGGGGAAUUUUCCGCAAUGGGCGAAAGCUUGACGGAGCAACGCCGCGUGAGGGAUGAAGGCCUCUGGGCUGUAAACCUCUUUUCUCAAGGAAGAAGAUCUGACGGUACUUGAGGAAUAAGCCACGGCUAAUUCCGUGCCAGCAGCCGCGGUAAUACGGGAGUGGCAAGCGUUAUCCGGAAUUAUUGGGCGUAAAGCGUCCGCAGGUGGCUCUGUAAGUCUGUCGUUAAAGCGUGGAGCUUAACUCCAUUUCAGCGGUGGAAACUACAGAGCUUGAGUGUGGUAGGGGCGGAGGGAAUUCCCGGUGUAGCGGUGAAAUGCGUAGAUAUCGGGAAGAACACCAGUGGCGAAGGCGCUCUGCUGGGCCAUAACUGACACUCAUGAACGAAAGCCAGGGGAGCGAAAGGGAUUAGAUACCCCUGUAGUCCUGGCCGUAAACGAUGAACACUAGGCGUCGGGGGAAUCGACCCCCUCGGUGUCGUAGCCAACGCGUUAAGUGUUCCGCCUGGGGAGUACGCACGCAAGUGUGAAACUCAAAGGAAUUGACGGGGGCCCGCACAAGCGGUGGAGUAUGUGGUUUAAUUCGAUGCAACGCGAAGAACCUUACCAGGGUUUGACAUCCUGCGAACCCCUGAGAAAUCGGGGGGUGCCUUCGGGAACGCAGAGACAGGUGGUGCAUGGCUGUCGUCAGCUCGUGUCGUGAGAUGUUGGGUUAAGUCCCGCAACGAGCGCAACCCACGUCUUUAGUUGCCAGCAUUCAGUUGGGCACUCUAGAGAGACCGCCGGUGAUAAAUCGGAGGAAGGUGUGGAUGACGUCAAGUCAUCAUGCCCCUUACAUCCUGGGCUACACACGUACUACAAUGCUACGGACAAAGGGCAGCGAACUCGCGAGGGCAAGCAAAUCCCAUAAACCGUGGCUCAGUUCAGAUCGUAGGCUGCAACUCGCCUACGUGAAGGAGGAAUCGCUAGUAAUCGCAGGUCAGCAUACUGCGGUGAAUACGUUCCCGGGCCUUGUACACACCGCCCGUCACACCAUGGAAGUUAGCCACGCCCGAAGUCGUUACUCCAACCCUUGUGGAGGAGGAUGCCGAAGGUGGGGCUGAUGACUGGGGUGAAGUCGUAACAAGGUAACC